rnacentral:rRNA from 1 species
UGGGGAAUUUUGCACAAUGGGGGAAACCCUGAUGCAGCGACGCCGCGUGAUUUAGAAGGCCUUCGGGUUGUAAAAAUCUUUUGUAUAGGAAGAAAAUGACAGUACUAUACGAAUAAGGACCGGCUAAUUACGUGCCAGCAGCCGCGGUAAUACGUAAGGUCCGAGCGUUGUCCGGAAUCAUUUGGCGUAAAGGGUACGUAGGCGGGUAAGCAAGUUAGAAGUGAAAUCCUAUAGCUCAACUAUAGUAAGCUUUUAAAACUGCUCAUCUUGAGGUAUGGAAGGGAAAGUGGAAUUCCUAGUGUAGCGGUGAAAUGCGCAGAUAUUAGGAGGAAUACCGGUGGCGAAGGCGACUUUCUGGCCAUAACCUGACGCUGAGGUACGAAAGCGUGGGUAGCAAACAGG